CUUCACGGCGUCGGACAUCAUUCACUUUCAUUGCUGGCCGUCGAGUAACUUCUGAGCAGCCCUACUGGUGGUGGCUGCUGAAAUAAGAGGAGACUGGAGGCUGCGGACGGUGUGCCGGGGGGGGAGAGGCCAAAUACAUCCAUGGCAACCAGUAAGGUGUUUGGCAGUGGACUGGCAGUGGACUAGAUGUUAGGACCUUAUAUGAGAGGCUGAGUUCAGCAGCAUGGAUCAGUGUGAGGACAGAGGAACCUCUCUGACAAACUGGGGACUUUGGCUUAG